UACGUAGGGUGCAAGCGUUAAUCGGAAUUACUGGGCGUAAAGCGUGCGCAGGCGGUUUUGUAAGUCUGACGUGAAAUCCCCGGGCUCAACCUGGGAAUUGCGUUGGAGACAGCAAGGCUAGAAUCUGGCAGAGGGGGGUAGAAUUCCACGUGUAGCAGUGAAAUGCGUAGAGAUGUGGAGGAACACCGAUGGCGAAGGCAGCCCCCUGGGUCAAGAUUGACGCUCAUGCACGAAAGCGUGGGGAGCAAACAGG
rnacentral:rRNA from 1 species